ACGCUGGUGGUGAAGUGGAAUCACAAAUGAGCAGUAGACCUGCGGUCCUGCCAAGAGUCGAAGGUUCGAAUCCUUCCCGGCGUU